rnacentral:rRNA from 1 species
GAUGAACGCUGGCGGCGUGCCUAAUACAUGCAAGUCGAGCGAACGGACGAGAAGCUUGCGUCUCUGAUGUUAGCGGCGGACGGGUGAGUAACACGUGGAUAACCUACCUAUAAGACUGGGAUAACUUCGGGAAACCGUAGCCAAUACUGGAUAAUAUUUCGAACCGCAUGGUCCAAAAGUGAAAGACGGUCUUGCUGUCACCUAUAGAUGGAUCCGCGCUGCAUUAGCUAGUUGGUAAGGUAACGGCUUACCAAGGCAACGAUGCAUAGCCGACCUGAGAGGGUGAUCGGCCACACUGGAACUGAGACACGGUCCAGACUCCUACGGGAGGCAGCAGUAGGGAAUCUUCGGCAAUGGGCGAAAGCCUGACGGAGCAACGCCGCGUGAGUGAUGAAGGUCUUCGGGUCGUAAAGCUCUGUUAUUAGGGAAGAACAUCUGUGUAAGUAACUGUGCACGUCUUGACGGUACCUAAUCAGAAAGCCCCGGCUAACUACGUG